rnacentral:tRNA from 1 species
CCCCGGUGUUGGGGCGAUUGAUCGACCACCUGGCUUGCGGCCAGUUCGACGAGAGCAAGCCGAUCUUCGUCCGCUGCGCGGAGCGGUGGCCGGGGGC